UAUAGUUGCUUAGGCAAUGUGUCUGAACUUUGAAUGAUCUCCAGCUUAUCUUGUUUUGAAUACCCAGCAUGCUUGCUCACUUUUUAUCCUUUUUUUUUGGGAAAAGUCCGAUUUCACUUUUAUGCAUUUAUGAUCUUCUUCUUUUCUUUUUCUUUUUCUUUUUCUUUCUUUCAUUUCUUUCUUUUUAAUCUGUAGAUGGGAAAUGCUGCAGCUGCAUUUGGUGGAGGCUUGCCUCCUGGAAUAAGUGGUACAAAUGACGGGUGCACCAUCCAAUCUGUAGAUGGGAAAUGCCUGGGGAGAUCUUUUUUCUUCGAUGGAUGCUAACACUGUUAAUGAUGUUAUGGAAUUUGUACUUCAAAACUUCCCAGAGAUGAAUAAACUUUGGGUCCGAAUGCAUCAUUAGCGAACAUGUAUGCAAGUGCUAGCCAAUGGAACAAAGUGACAAGAGUGAGAGAGGCAAUGAGAAACAGAGGAGUUCAAAAACCAGA